AAAAUAAAAAAAAUCAAAUAAAAAACGGGAGGGAACCCCCCCCCCCCCCAAUUUUCUCUUCUCUCCCUCUCCUUCCCUCUCUUCUUCUUUCUUUUUCUGGUUCCGAGCAUCUCCCCACCUGGCCGGCGACUCUCCGAUGACGGCAAGAGCCACCAGAAACGGCGGCAAGAGAGGGAGGAGAGAGAGAAAACGCGUGCACAGUGGGCAGCGGCUUUCCGGCGUGAUUCCGGCUUCAUCCGACGUCCGAUCGAGGCGAUUCAGGUGGCGUUGGAAAGCUUGUUCCGAGAGCUUUCUUUUGAUACCCAUUUUGCAGCAAAUGGAGGUCGGAUGAGUGAGAUAUGGAGGAGAGAAGUUUCGGGUUUUUCAAGCUUUUUCGUCAGAUCUAUGACGAUCCGACCUUUGGAUCGACGAUCCGAGACCACCUAUGGACUGAGGAAGAGGAAGAGGAACAUGGUGGUAUGAUCAGAUCCCGCAAAUGUCGCCGGCGACCGGCGGCCGGCCACCGUGCGCGGUGGUUUCGGCGGUGGCUCCGGUGGGCUAUGGAGAUGAUUCAACUUCCAGAGGCUUUCUCGUAAAUUUUUGAAAUUUUUGAGACACAGAUAAACUUCGAGCCACAGGAUGAGUUAUUUUACAGAGCAACCUGUUUUCUUCCUCGCAGGUUUAACGUCGAUUAUUUAAUUGUUUUAUUAUUUUUUCUAAAUUUAAAAUCUAGAACUCCGCAUGUGUUAGUAAUAGUGUGGACCUUGUUAGAAAUUGUGUUAAUUUAAAUUUUUGAAAUUAAUAAAUGAAGAUUUGUACGGUA